rnacentral:rRNA from 1 species
GUGGGGAAUAUUGGGCAAUGGAGGCAACUCUGACCCAGCCAUGCCGCGUGCAGGAUGACGGCCCUCUGGGUUGUAAACUGCUUUUAUACGGGAAUAAAAAAUACUACGUGUAGUAUACUGACGGUACCGUAAGAAUAAGGAUCGGCUAACUCCGUGCCAGCAGCCGCGGUAAUACGGAGGAUCCAAGCGUUGUCCGGAUUUAUUGGGUUUAAAGGGUGCGUAGGCGGAUUUUUAAGUCAGUGGUGAAAGCCUGCAGCUUAACUGUAGAAUUGCCAUUGAAACUGAAGAUCUUGAAUGUGGUAAAAGUAGGCGGAAGGUAUCAUGUAGCGGUGAAAUGCUUAGAUAUGAUAAAGAACACCGAUAGCGAAGGCAGCUUGCUGAACCAUUAUUGACGCUGAGGCACGAAAGCGUGGGGAGCGAACAGGAUUAGAAACCCGUGUAGUCC